CCCUUAGAUGUUCUGGGCCGCACGCGCGCUACACUGAUGCAUUCAACGAGCCUAUCCUUGACCGACAGGUCCGGGUAAUCUUUGAAUCUGCAUCGUGACGGGGAUAGAUUAUUGCAAUUAUUAAUCUUCAACGAGGAAUGCCUAGUAGGCGCAAGUCAUCAGCUUGCGUCGAUUACGUCCCUGCCCUUUGUACGCACCGCCCGUCGCUCCUACCGAUUGGGUGUGCUGGUGAAAUGUUCGGAUCGGCCGUUUGUCGCGGUUUCCGCGUCAUGUGGCUGAGAAGUUCAUUAAACCCUCCCACCGAGAGGAAGGAGAAGUCGUAACA
rnacentral:rRNA from 1 species